UUCUUCAAUCAGCAAUGGAGUAAAUAGCGUUAGCUUUAGCCGCACUGACCGCACGCACACCAAGGUCGAGAGGAGGAGCUUGUUGUGUCCCAGGCCGCUGUAGAACAUACUGGCGCCCCUCCUCAGGAAAUGGAUCGUCAUCUCCACGCCCACGGACCCAAACAGCUCCUGCCGUGCCACGCCCGAACACCGCCGAGAGGAUGAUCAGCAUGUCGGACUUCAUCUCCACGGUGACCGCAUCCUCAUCGCCGGGGCUCGACUCCAUCCGUAUUAGAAGCUCUGAAUGGGUGAGAUGGAGGACAUCUAAGGUCCUGGUUGAGGUUCCUGUCAUCCAGCGAGGUAACAGAUCUCAUCAGUCUGAUGGAGUAUCGCAUGUGAGCCUUCUUGCUGCCUCGGCCUCCGGUGGCGUGGAAGCUGUGACCUUGACCACAGUAGCCGUCUGGAACCAAAAAUUAAGUCGAGGUUGAAGGCCCAGGAAAUGACCGCAGGGGUAAGUCCGAGUCGAGUCUAAAAUCUGAGAGUUGGUGGCUCGAAUGCGGCGACACUCACCUUAAGCUUGACGGUGGGGUCUUACCUUCCAUGACGCACCAGUCCAGAAGGUGCAACAGGGUCACGUUGCCAUAACAAGACAUGUAGUGGUCCAGAACCAGCGGCGCCAAAGUGGCGAGGACUGCCAGAGCCUGCAGCUGAAGCUCCUCCAGCUGGACGGACGACCAGUGCCGAGACCCCGAUUUGACCUCGGCGGAGGCGACGGGUGGUUUGGCCAGGGUCAGCAGGGCUAGUAUCACUUGUUCCUCCUUGAAGAUCUGCACCACAAACAGGUCGGCAUCCAUGUCAAGAUCUACCUCGAUAUGAUUUGACGUUUGAAGAACAAGAAUCGGCCACCGGAAUGAUUGCGGGAUCUCUGGACAUGACAAGUAGCAGAUUUAACAGCAGCUUCUUCAUUUGUAGGUCUUCCAUAUUGUACGUCAGCUUCAGCUUGCCCACCAAACUAGUGUCACUCUUCACUGAAAGGGAAGCAUGGUAGAAAAGAUGUCCGUCAAAUCCAGAAGGAAACUCUUGGCGUGGGUGGCAAUUUGCCUUACGUUCGGGAAACGUGCUGAGCGCAACGAGCUGCCUGGCGAAUAGGCUCUCCUAAAAAGAUCAUCAUUAGAUAAUCAAUUGGAACAAAUCUAUUGAUCUGAAGAUGUGGCUCACAAUGAGGAGAGCGCAGGAGUUCUCAGCAAAGAGGGUGGUGAGUACCAGCAGAUCGUUGCGGACUUGGAGGUCAACGUGGCGGAAAGUGUUGAGGAGAGCGUGGAUAAAUGCUUCUUUUAGAGAUCUGCAAGACGCAAGAAAACACAAGAUGAGACUUUUCCAAGAUUUUCUGCUCACUAAACAAAUCAAAAAAUGGGGUUGGUGGGUUUAGGGUUACGAUCGGGGUGAGUGGUUUUAGGUUUUAUGAUCUUAGUGAAUGAAGUUGGGGUGUUGGUUCGACGUACAUGGCGCACUCCACGCUGCUUAGCUGGGCGGCCACUGCGGCCUUGUUCCCACUCUCCAAAAGGUUCCAGAGGAUUUCCGAGGAAUGGAACAGGAUCAUUCCGGACGGGUCGGGUUCGUUCAUGCGCAGACAGAUGCUUUCGGCCCCUUGUGCGCUCAAUAUUAAAGCGCAGUUCAUAUCUACAGAUACCAAAGUAAGAUUUGUGUCCUACAGAAAAGGAUGGCAGCUUGGCUCACUGACCAGAUGUGCUGGAGAGCAUCUGAAGUGUUUGCAGGAGCAGGAGCUUGAUGGCGGGUUGCUUCUCCAGCGCCGCCACGGAUAGGAAGAGCGUCUUGGCUAGAUCGCUACGCUCCAGAAGCUGAAGUCGGUAGCCGGGGGACGUCGGUUGAGGCCCUGUGAGAAUCAAGGCUCGUCAAAGCAGACCCAAACCAUUCUCGGGUCGCUAUAUUAGGUACACCAGCCAAUAAGAUCCAGGCCAUAAAUGUAGUUUUGCAGGUUGGACCGUACCGUCAAGCGGCGCUUUGUCUGGAACCGAGAUGCUGUAGAAAGACUUGACCGACUCCACGACAUGACGCCUCACCUCGCUGUCCGACACCUUCAUCAGGAAAGGAAGCCUCAGAAGGACGAACGACAACAUUUUGUUAUAUUCGGGAAACCCGACGUCAUUUGAAAACUCCGGGAACGCUUCCUACCUGGAAAUCUUCAGAGCCUCGCACAGAAUGCCGCAAAAUUCCGGGUGCUUGUCGGCCUUCUCGCCGCAGACUUUGAGGAUCCUUGUGAUGAUCACCAGCUCCCUCAGCAGCUUGAAGAUGUCAAGGAAACCACAAAUCCCUUGAAAAAAUCUGACAGUCGUGCAUGGUGGUACGUGAUCCCAAUCAGAAGGAAACGUUGACAUGAGAAAGGAUACAAAGCCGUGUUGUUUCUUCUUGAAGAGCUUCUUGAGCACAAAAAGGUGCCUCCCAUGCAUGUGGGUCUAAAAAUAUAGUGUAAAGGGAAAUGUACUUUCGGCAGUUUGCAAACAUAUUUGAUUAAGGCUGCGUUAGACAUAUAUAAUCAUAUCAAUAUAAUUUCUAGUAGUAGUGUGGUCGCAUAUUAAGUGGAAAGGAAUGUGCAGGCUACAUGAAUUUGUUUUCUACAAAGUAUUGUGGAACAGGAUGUCCAGACAGGGAGGACAUCUCAAGGCCGGUGAGGAACGCGAAUAACAACUCGUCAUUGUGGUCCAGACCCAACCGCCCACAACUGAGACCAGACUGAGCAGCGGACGACCAUCGACCAAUCACCACACAAUAUUUUGCAUGCUUCAAUAUUCAUAUUGUCUUUCUUUAAAAGUGGGCAACCCGGAAGAAUGUGUUGUCUCUUGGUGGUCACAAGAACACACAAAUCUUAGUGUGAGGGACCCAGGCUUGUAUUAGCUUGCUUUGUCAGGAUUAAACAAUUUGUAAA